rnacentral:rRNA from 1 species
UACGAAGGGGGCUAGCGUUGCUCGGAAUUACUGGGCGUAAAGGGCGCGUAGGCGGCUUACACAGUCGGGCGUGAAAUUCCUGGGCUUAACCUGGGGGCUGCGUUUGAUACUUGUAGGCUAGAGGAUGGAAGAGGGUCGUGGAAUUCCCAGUGUAGAGGUGAAAUUCGUAGAUAUUGGGAAGAACACCGGUGGCGAAGGCGGCGACCUGGUCCAUUACUGACGCUGAGGCGCGACAACGUGGGGAGCAAACAGG